UAGGGAAUCUUCGGCAAUGGACGAAAGUCUGACCGAGCAACGCCGCGUGAGUGAAGAAGGUUUUCGGAUCGUAAAACUCUGUUGUUAGAGAAGAACAAGGACGUUAGUAACUGAACGUCCCCUGACGGUAUCUAACCAGAAAGCCACGGCUAACUACGUGCCAGCAGCCGCGGUAAUACGUAGGGCGCGAGCGUUGUCCGGAAUUAUUGGGCGUAAAGGGCUUGUAGGCGGCUUGUUGCGCCUGCUGUGAAAACGCGGGGCUUAACUUCGCGCGUGCAGUGGGUACGGGCAGGCUUGAGUGUGGUAGGGGUGACUGGAAUUCCAGGUGUAGCGGUGGAAUGCGCAGAUAUCUGGAGGAACACCGAUGGCGAAGGCAGGUCACUGGGCCAUUACUGACGCUGAGGAGCGAAAGCAUGGGUAGCGAACAGG
rnacentral:rRNA from 1 species